rnacentral:rRNA from 1 species
GGGGGGGGGGGGGGGGGGGGGUGGGGGGGGCGGGGCGGGCGGGGGGGCGCGGCGUGUGUGGGGUGCGCGGGUGGCGAACGGGGGGGUAGCGCGUGAGUAGCCUGCCCUUGACUUUGGGAUAACUUCAGGAAACUGGGGCUAAUACCGGCUAGGAGCUCCUGCUGCAUGGUGGGGGUUGGAAAGUUUCGGCGGUUGGGGAUGGACGCGCGGCUUAUCAGCUUGUUGGUGGGGUAGUGGCUUACCAAGGCUUUGACGGGUAGCCGGCCUGAGAGGGUGACCGGCCACAUUGGGACUGAGAUACGGCCCAGACUCCUACGGGAGGCAGCAGUGGGGAAUAUUGCACAAUGGGCGGAAGCCUGAUGCAGCAACGCCGCGUGCGGGAUGACGGCCUUCGGGUUGUAAACCGCUUUCGCCUGUGACGAAGCGUGAGUGACGGUAAUGGGUAAAGAAGCACCGGCUAACUACGUG